rnacentral:rRNA from 1 species
GCAGCCAUGCCGCGUGUGUGAAGAAGGCCUUCGGGUUGUAAAGCACUUUUAGUGAGGAAGGUAGUGUAGUUAAUAGCUGCAUUAUUUGACGUUAACAGAGAAGCACCGGCUAACUCCGUGCCAGCAGCCGCGGUAAUACGGAGGGUGCGAGCGUUAAUCGGAAUUACUGGGGAAAGCGCAUGCAGGUGGUUUGUUAAGUCAGAUGUGAAAGCCCGGGGCUCAACCUCGGAAUAGCAUUUGAAACUGGCAGACUAGAGUACUGUAGAGGGGGGUAGAAUUUCAGGUGUAGCGGUGAAAUGCGUAGAGAUCUGAAGGAAUACCGGUGGCGAAGGCGGCCCCCUGGACAGAUACUGACACUCAGAUGCGAAAGCGUGGGGAGCAAACAGGAUUAGAUACCCUGGUAGUCCACGUAAACGAUGUCUACUUGGAGGUUGUGGCCUUGAGCCGUGGCUUUCGGAGCUAACGCGUUAAGUAGACCGCCUGGGGAGUACGGUCGCAAGAUUAAAACUCAAAUGAAUUGACGGGGGCCCGCACAAGCGGUGGAGCAUGUGGUUUAAUUCGAUGCAACGCGAAGAACCUUACCUACUCUUGACAUCCAGAGAACUUUCCAGAGAUGGAUUGGUGCCUUCGGGAACUCUGAGACAGGUGCUGCAUGGCUGUCGUCAGCUCGUGUUGUGAAAUGUUGGGUUAAGUCCCGCAACGAGCGCAACCCUUAUCCUUGUUUGCCAGCGAGUAAUGUCGGG